CUCAAACAUCUAAGGACUUGACUAGGAACGGGUACGGAGGUUUUAAUGAACUCAUUACUCAUUCCACUGUCAGGCAUUGACCGGACAGAAAGUCCAAAAGGAAACAAGACACAUACAUCUCAUUGGAUCUUACAGUGUCAGCAGCACCAGCAUGAAACACACAAUGACAGCAGUCCAUGAUCUGACAGGAGCAUUGGAGCUAAUUCAGAGGAAGAUCUAGGAAGGGCUUCCUGAAGAAAUGAUGCUUCUUUGAGUCUGUGAGAUGAUGAGGAAUUAUCAAGGUGAGGAGAUAGGGGAAAAGUAUUCCGAUCAGAGGGAACAACACAUGCAAAGACCGAGAGAGAAAACGGCACCAUUGGUUUAUAGAAAGUAGCUCAGUGAGGUUCCCAGUUGCUUAUAGGAUAAAAAUGAAACUCCAGAGUAUGACAUUCAAAGCCCUACAAGUUCUGCUCCAGGUUCACCUCUGGCCACUUCUUGACAUCCCACCAUACCACAGU
rnacentral:lncRNA from 1 species